rnacentral:rRNA from 1 species
UUCUCUGCUCAGAUUGAACGCUGGCGGCAGGCCUAACACAUGCAAGUCGAGCGGUAGCACAGAGAGCUUGCUCUCGGGUGACGAGCGGCGGACGGGUGAGUAAUGUCUGGGAAACUGCCUGAUGGAGGGGGAUAACUACUGGAAACGGUAGCUAAUACCGCAUAACGUCGCAAGACCAAAGUGGGGGACCUUCGGGCCUCAUGCCAUCAGAUGUGCCCAGAUGGGAUUAGCUAGUAGGUGGGGUAACGGCUCACCUAGGCGACGAUCCCUAGCUGGUCUGAGAGGAUGACCAGCCACACUGGAACUGAGACACGGUCCAGACUCCUACGGGAGGCAGCAGUGGGGAAUAUUGCACAAUGGGCGCAAGCCUGAUGCAGCCAUGCCGCGUGUGUGAAGAAGGCCUUCGGGUUGUAAAGCACUUUCAGCGGGGAGGAAGGCGUUAAGGUUAAUAACCUCGUCGAUUGACGUUACCCGCAGAAGAAGCACCGGCUAACUCCGUGCCAGCAGCCGCGGUAAUACGGAGGGUGCAAGCGUUAAUCGGAAUUACUGGGCGUAAAGCGCACGCAGGCGGUCUGUCAAGUCGGAUGUGAAAUCCCCGGGCUCAACCUGGGAACUGCAUUCGAAACUGGCAGGCUAGAGUCUUGUAGAGGGGGGUAGAAUUCCAGGUGUAGCGGUGAAAUGCGUAGAGAUCUGGAGGAAUACCGGUGGCGAAGGCGGCCCCCUGGACAAAGACUGACGCUCAGGUGCGAAAGCGUGGGGAGCAAACAGGAUUAGAUACCCUGGUAGUCCACGCCGUAAACGAUGUCGAUUUGGAGGUUGUGCCCUUGAGGCGUGGCUUCCGGAGCUAACGCGUAAAUCGACCGCCUGGAUACGCCCCUUUAGAUGAGACCAAGCGCC